rnacentral:rRNA from 1 species
UACGUAGGGUGCAAGCGUUGUCCGGAAUUAUUGGGCGUAAAGAGCUCGUAGGCGGCUUGUCGCGUCGGCUGUGAAAACCUGGGGCUCAACCCCGGGCCUGCAGCCGAUACGGGCAAGCUAGAGUUCGGUAGGGGAGACUGGAAUUCCUGGUGUAGCGGUGAAAUGCGCAGAUAUCAGGAGGAACACCGGUGGCGAAGGCGGGUCUCUGGGCCGAAAUUGACGCUGAGGAGCGAAAGCGUGGGGAGCGAACAGG